GGGCUGAUGGUCUAGUGGUAUGAUUCUCGCUUAGGGUGCGAGAGGUCCCGGGUUCGACUCCCGGUUAGCCCC
rfam:Lichtheimia corymbifera JMRC:FST:9682, FST 9682, WGS project CBTN01000000 data, contig: SCAF00011